CUUGCUCCCUGAUGUUAGCGGCGGCCGGGUGAGUAACACGUGGGUAACCUGCCUGUAAGACUGGGACUCCUCCAGGAAACCGGGGCUAAUACCGGAUGCUUGUUUGAACCGCAUGGUUCAAACAUAAAAGGUGGCUUCGGCUACCACUUACAGAUGGACCCGCGGCGCAUUAGCUAGUUGGUGAGGUAACGGCUCACCAAGGCAACGAUGCGUAGCCGACCUGAGAGGGUGAUCGGCCACACUGGGACUGAGACACGGCCCAGACUCCUACGGGAGGCAGCAGUAGGGAAUCUUCCGCAAUGGACGAAAGUCUGACGGAGCAACGCCGCGUGAGUGAUGAAGGUUUUCGGAUCGUAAAGCUCUGUUGUUAGGGAAGAACAAGUACCGUUCGAAUAGGGCGGUACCUUGACGGUACCUAACCAGAAAGCCACGGCUAACUACGUGCCAGCAGCCGCGGUAAUACGUAGGUGGCAAGCGUUGUCCGGAAUUAUUGGGCGUAAAGGGCUCGCAGGCGGUUUCUUAAUUCUGAUGUGAAAGCCCCCCGGCUCA
rnacentral:rRNA from 1 species